UGGUAGUGGGAUGCUGCUGUCUUUACUAGAUACCUCAAAUCAAAGGCAUUCAACUUGUCUGUUGCCGGGAAAAGGAGGAAAAGAGCUGUUUAUGUUGCUGGUGUGCCCACAGCUGCCUCCAUAGGGGUAAUGCUUUGUUUAUUCUUCACCUGUUACACUGAAAAGCCUUUAUGGCAAUGCUGCUGCCACUUGUGUGGGUGUGAUGGCAUCAAGCUCUUAAAUUCACCCAGAAAAACUGAGCCCUUCCUCCUUGGCCAAGAUCACUUGUGCAGAGCAGAUGCUGCAGUGUGCACCCUCCUGGGAUCUGGAAUUAAGAGUACCCUUCGUUCCAAAGAAGCAGUGCUGACAGAGGGAAGGCUUUCCACGUGUCUCCUGUAUUAUCUCCAAGUGGUGGCUUUGAAGAGUCAGAGAGAGGUAUCUCAGAAGACCUGUGCAAAUCAAAGAUUGUUCUUCUGCUGAAUGCUGGGGAGCUUUUUCUGGGAAUCUCUUUUGGAGGCUGUGGAUUAAAGCCGAGUGGACGGACAUGGGAUCGGCAUCCAUCGCCCCACAUCAGCCCAGGUCACUGCAAGUAAGUGGCCUGACACCUCUCAGGCUAAUAGAGGAGAUAACUAAUGAAUUUAGAAGCACUUAAGAGUUUCUGCCCUGGAGAGCAGGUGGACUGGGCUGUCUCCAGGAUUUGGAUGAUCUUGGAGUGCUGAUUUAGCCCUCUCCUGGUUACCCUGAUAUUGUUCACUUAUUAAAUAUAAAUCAUAUCCAUAA